UACGAGUGCUUCAAGCGUUAUCCGGAAUCAUUGGGCGUAAAGGGUGCGUAGGCGGCGAUGUUAGUCUCGCGUUAAAUUCUCCGGCUCAACCGGGGAGCUGCGUGGGAAACGGCAUUGCUCGAGGACGGAAGGGGUCUCUGGAACUCAUGGUGUAGCGGUGAAAUGCGUUGAUAUCAUGGGGAACACCGAAAGCGAAGGCAAGAGACUGGUCCGCUCCUGACGCUGAAGCACGAAAGCGUGGGUCGCGAAUGGG
rnacentral:rRNA from 1 species